rnacentral:rRNA from 1 species
GACGAACGCUGGCGGCGUGCUUAACACAUGCAAGUAGAACGGUAAGGCCCUUCGGGGUACACGAGUGGCGAACGGGUGAGUAACACGUGGGUGAUCUGCCCUGCACUUCGGGAUAAGCCUGGGAAACUGGGACUAAUAACGGAUAGGACCCUGGGAGGCAUGUCAUGGGGAGGAAAGCUUUUGUGGUGUGGGAUGGGCGCGCGGUCUAUGAGCUUGUUGGUGGGGUGAUGGCGUAGCAAGGCGACGGCGGGUGGCCGGCCUGAGAGGGUGACCUGCCAAACUGGGAUUGAGGAACGAGCCAUAGUCCUACGGGAGGCAGCAGUGGGGAAUAUUGCGCAAUGGGCGCAGUCCUGAUGCAGCGACGCCGCGUGGUGGAUCACUGCCUUCAGGUUGUAAACCUCUUUCAGCUCCGACGAAGCGAAAGUGACGGUAGGUGCAGAAAAAGGACCGGCCAACUACGUGCCAGCCGCCGCCGUAA